CCCCCAUAUGCCGUCAACUUCAUCCUAAAAGAAAAAGAAAUUUAUCAUCUUCUUGUUUCUUCAAGAGUUGGAAUAUAUAUCCCUAAGCCUAUGAUGUGGGUGAUAGAAGAAGAGACCUUGAAUAUUUGAAGGUGUAGAGAAACUUGGAAGAAAUCAAACUCUCAACAGGUGAUGUUUGACAUGGUUUGCUGUGAGAGUGCGGUAGACCGAGAUUCUGAGGACUAUCAAGGCUUAAGAAGAAAUUGAUGUAAUAGUGGAUUAUUAUUUUUACUUUUAGAAAGACUUGUGAACUAAGGAUUUUAUUUUGGUAUUGUUUAAGGUUAGCCUUGCAUCUAAUCAAGUAAGGAUUAGGUGUGGCGGUAGCAUCCCUAUUCAAUUAAGUAUGUAAAGCUUCCUCAAUAUUGUUAGUGAAUUAUUAAGAAAGAAAAAAUUAGGGAAAA